ACUUAGGCCUCAUAUCUCAACAGUACUGAAUGUCCCGGUCAUUCAGUCGUUAGUCCUUCUGUCCCUGUCGGGUUUCAGCCCCAGUCUUGAGUGCCAGAGGCAAAGUAAUACAAAUAAAGCCCUUAUUCUCAACGCGCUGUUCCUGGGAGAAAAGCCACCUGCAGGAGUCCUGCACAGGAGACCUCUGUUUUGUGACAUCCCCUGGGCGGACAGUCCAGUCUGGGUGGUGUUAUGGAUCUUGACACUGCUUGAAAGCUGUACUUUGUUGCUGACAUAAGGGAAAGAUCCGACAAGCAUUAGUCUUUAUAACCAUCCAUGUAGUGGACUUCUGUGACCACCGUUCUGUGUGUGAUAACAAAUCUUUGUUGUCAUUUUGACACACUUGGGAAGAAGGAACCUCAACUGAAGAAUUUCCUCCAUCAUAUUAGCCUGUGGGAGCCCAGCGAGUGUCCACGUGCACCGAGGAGUCACUUGUCCGCUGACAGACAUGCCUUUGCAGUAAAUGCCAAGGCAUAAAUGCUUCCAUCCCAUAAGCAAGAGGGAGACCUGGAAAUAGCCAGAGACCUAGGUGUGAAGUCCAGGCUGUUCUGUUGGUAACAGAAAAGCAUCUCUGCAUCUCCUUCUUAAUUAA